UAACGACGUAGUACUCCGGCCGAGUCAUCGUGCAGACUGAUCGCAUUGCACACUGCGCGGUCGGCAGUCGCACGUGCCACUGUGGAACUUAAUAAAAUUAUCCAUUACCCAACGGUGCCGGCGCAAGCGUGAUCUGCGUUGUCAGUUAGAAAUAUAGAUUACGCGUAAAUAAUUCAAACUGAGAAAACGGUACACAUCCACUUGAGCGCAUCACUUUGGAUCACUCUAAUAAUAUUAUUAUACCGCGCUAUUACCGCCAGAGUAAUAAUCGGAUUUUUCGUCAAGCUGCAGCCAUAAUUACUUUGUUGGGUUCAAUGUUUUUCGUGCAAUAAAGAAAAUGCAAAUCAGCUCACUACGUUCACUAUUUUUUUUAUAAGUUUACGUCAAAAAGUGUUCAAAUAUAACCUUAUAUAUGUAUGCAAAAUGGCCAGGUGCAACUGGAGCAUGAUUAUCCAUUGGAUUACUCAGACGACUGGUAAAGCGACUGUCUUUUCUGAACAAUUUUGGAUAAGAUUUAUGUACAGGAUCUUUUGCUUUAAUCGUAC